ACGAGACCAGUGCUGGCCGAGCCAGUGCCGAGUUCUAUGUCCAGUGCAGCCUGACUUCUGAGCAGGUGAGGAAGCACUACCUGAGUGGGGGACCCGAGGCCCACGAGUCUACAGGAAUCAUCUUUGUGGAGACACAGGUGCAGAGUGACAAACCAUCUUGCUUGGAGGCCAGGGCUGGGGCCUGCCGAGGCCUGGCAAUGCAUAUCUUGUAGGGGAGGUGUUGGCUGGGUCACAAUUCCCUCCAGAGUCACAAGAUUUGCUCUCAGUGCAAGGGAAAGGUCCAGGGACCUGUUCAGCCCCUUAACAUGCCUCCCUAAGGACAGUGCAGAGGUCUCUGAGGCUCAGGAAUUCUGGGCACAGCCCUGGCAGGAGAUGUGGCAAGCUUGAAUGCCUGGGUCUCCUUGUCUCCCCACAGAAAGUGCGGAGAUUGCAGGAGACGGAGAUGUGGGCUGAACUCUGCCCCUCGGCCAAAGGCGCCAUCAUCCUCUACAACCGGGUUCAGGGAAGUCCCACUGGAGCGGCCCUAAGGUCCCCAGCCCUACUCCCGCCACUCUGAAGAUAAUAAAGGACUUUAUUCUUGG
rnacentral:sRNA from 1 species